ACAUUUGCAGUAUGGAUGCUCUCUUUCAGAAGAAGUUUUUCUGGAAGAUCUCAACCAAAAAACCUUCUUCCAAAGGAAGCCUGUAGUCUAGAUGUAGCCCAAAUGUGGGAUACUCGAUUGCAUAAUUUGUGGUAGUGGGGGACUGCAUUGGCACUUUCCCUG
rnacentral:snRNA from 1 species